UGCCUGCUGUUCAGGGUGUGAGAACAGUUGUUUAAUGUAUUUUGUUCAACUUUCUAAUUCCCAAUUGUAGGUGAGGAAGUCUAGACACUGUUCCUCUUAUUGUUGCAGGAAGGGAACCCUUUCCAGGGCCCUAGAGUGGGCUCACAAUGCUGACAAAGCCAGAGACUUGAUUGGGAAGAGGUAACCAGGAGGAUAGCAGCAGGAUGUGGGAAGAAGCAACAAGAGGGAAUAUUCUCCUGGGCCAAGAGUCUAGUGAGACAGGUAUGGUCCAGAGACUUGCUACUUGCAAGGUCUGGUCUAGUAACAGCACAGAGUGGCCUGUCAAUGGAAUCUUCAUUAGACCUGGCACACAAAGGCCAUGAAAUGCCCCCAAAGCAUGGUCAAAUAUGUGGCUGUGAAGAGACCAUGUUGACUGGAAGUUGGCACUUACCUGCUGUCUCUACAAAGAUUUCAUCAUGACCACUGCAAGCUGCUGACCUUCAACCCCCCUUGAAAGGAGUUCAGGAUGGAGAUAAGAAAUAAGGCACUCUGUGCUCUGGGAAAAACCCAGAAGAACUGACCUUCGGAGAGUCAGAUGCUUUCAGAAUACAACAAAUCUCCAAGUGAUAGUUUGACAAGAAUAUUCCUGGCCAACACCCAGACAAUGCUGAAACAAGCCGCCUUAUCAUUCCAUGGACUCUCAUCUCCCUCCAUAAAGGCACAACACCCCUGUACAGCCUGAAGAAGUCAGAGUGGUCAUCGCCCCUUUUCCCCUGAGACUGGCUUCCCAAAUGCCUGAGAAGGGAAAUAGUUAGAUAGUUAGACGUGAGCAGGGUAUC